rnacentral:rRNA from 1 species
GAUGAACGCUAGCUACAGGCUUAACACAUGCAAGUCGAGGGGCAGCACUAGGUAGCAAUACUGAGGUGGCGACCGGCGCACGGGUGCGUAACGCGUAUCCAACCUUCCCGUUACUCUUGGAUAGCCUUCCGAAAGGGAGAUUAAUACAAGAUGGUAUUCAAAUUCCGCAUGUUAUUUGAAUUAAAGAUUUAUCGGUAACGGAUGGGGAUGCGUGACAUUAGAUAGUAGGCGGGGUAACGGCCCACCUAGUCUACGAUGUCUAGGGGUUCUGAGAGGAAGGUCCCCCACACUGGAACUGAGACACGGUCCAGACUCCUACGGGAGGCAGCAGUGAGGAAUAUUGGUCAAUGGUCGGAAGACUGAACCAGCCAAGUAGCGUGAAGGAUGAAGGUUCUAUGGAUUGUAAACUUCUUUUAUACGGGAAUAAAACCUCCCACGUGUGGGGGCUUGUAUGUACCGUAUGAAUAAGCAUCGGCUAACUCCGUGCCAGCAGCCGCCGUAAUAC